AUUGUCUAUGAUGAUAUCUUGACCACGCUUAAUCGAGGCAUUUUAAUGCAAUGAGAUUAUCAAUCACAUGCACUACCAUCUGAGGCGAA